UACGUAGGGUGCAAGCGUUAAUCGGAAUACUGGGCGUAAAGCGUGCGCAGGCGGUGAUGUAAGACAGGUGUGAAAUCCCCGGGCUUAACCUGGGAACUGCAUUUGUGACUGCAUCGCUGGAGUGCGGCAGAGGGGGAUGGAAUUCCGGCGUGUAGCAGUGAAAUGCGUAGAUAUGCGGAGGAACACCGAUGGCGAAGGCAAUCCCCUGG
rnacentral:rRNA from 1 species